rnacentral:piRNA from 1 species
UGCUGUUAAAGCGGCCCUGCCAGGAGAGC